ACCCUCAGUUGCAUUAUCAAAGGAUUUAGGGGUUUCGUUAAUAGCUACAAAAGAAGGAAAUUUUCUCGAAGCUGAGAGGAUUUUCUUGGGAGGUCCAAAAAGUGCAGGAAAAUUUUUUUAGUGUACCAAGAGAAGGGGAAGGAUGAGGAGGAGGAGAGAGCGUGACAAGAGUGUCUUCGAAUUUGGGUGGCUCCACCAGAUUGAGAAUGAGGCCAGGCCCUUUCUUGGUGGUGUGUAAGUGCUUCAGCAUCUUGACCUCCCCUACAGCCGUUCUCUGUAUCGCUGUUAACGUUUUCUCUGCCAUUCGAUCUUUCAAGGACGGAUAUGAUUGUAGGUUUUCAAUGGGAUAUUUCGGUGUUAUGAGGUUUUGAUUGCAGCUUUUGUGGUUCUAGCUGAGACAGAGUGGGAAUUCAUCAUCAAGUUCUGGAAGAUCCAGUGUACUUGUCCAAGAAUCAAUGGAUAUAUAAGGUUGAGUUAGCUAGUUAUGUAAAGCAGCUUUGUGCACAAACCUCUGAAUCAGCUAGUUAUGUAUGGCACGACAUUGGUCUUCCAACAAGUAGGAUGCUUGUUUGGUACAAGUCAACAUUCUCAGCUCCUCUUGGUAUUGAUCCAGUUGUGGUUGAUUUGAUGGGAUUGGGAAAAAGAGAAGCUUGGAUAAAUGUCAGAGCCUGGAAAAGUAUUGGCCAAAUUUUGAAGCCAAUGAAGAUGGUUGCAGUUAUAUUUGUAAUUAUCGU